AUUUCCUAACCGUUUUGGCAUGUUUAUAAACCAUCGCCAGGUACUAGUAUCUUCAACCAUCUGAAGAUACUUCUCUACUUCACAUUUUCACAUGCUCAAGAGACGGCACAACAAAGAAUCCUCCAUGGAUACCCAAGACAGUUCGAUUUUGAAACCAUAGCCAGUCAUGCCAAUCGCAGACGUUAUUGAAAAAUAUCGACCAUUAUUUGAAAACGUAUUGAAAGGUAUUUGGAAAGUUGACAAGAAAAUCCCCAAUGAAGAUUGUGAAGCAAUGAUGGCCAAUAUUAUGACCUUGUGCUUGAUGUUGUGGAUAUAGCUGCACAAGAUCAAUUGGUCAAAAAUUUGGAGCUUGUUUGGUACCUGGCCGAGCUUGCAACAUCCACCCUAUCUAAUGGUAGCUUGAGGAACCUUUCUACGGUCAGCCAUUUGGGGGCUCUCCAGAGCGCUGAUGGUUUGUUGGGAGCCUCUGUUGCCUUGCUGCUGAACAAGGCCAACGUUGUCCACGAUCCUAGCUUGGUCAAGGUCAGUUGAUGCUUUGGAAAGAUUGGUAUUCAUGUACUACCGUCAUUGCCUCCACAAUGAAAUGUACCAUUAUCAUGAGUCGCCAUGAGGCUACAAGACAAUGUUCUAUCCUACAUCCAUUGCUCUACCUCUUUGAGCAAAUCUUGGCAUUCUUCUACAAAAACUUCCCAGUAUGUAUUUUCUACCAUCUAUCAUUAUCCUGCCUUGCCAUGAAAGAGGGCUGCUAUCUUCCACUACCUUUAAAAAAAUAAAGGAAGUCUAUCAAGAUCAGUGUAAAUUUUUCUGGCCGAAUGAUUGUUAUAAAAUAAAGAGCACAAAAUGUGGCAAAUAAAUAAGGUGAACCGACUUUGGACUUCCCUUUGCAGAAGGAAAGUUGCUCCAAAAAUAUAUGUCAGGAGACAUUCUGGUGGUCAUUCUACUACUGCAUCCAUUAGGCUAAACAACUCGAUCAUAUAGUUUGUUAAUUGUCACAUUAUGUUGUGUGUAUUCAGUAGUCUAAACAACUCAACAUGCCUUGUUUUUGCCAUCGAUCUUUUUAGUUAUUUUGUGAAAUUUUCUUCCCACAGAGAUU